GACGAAUGCUGGCGGCGUGCCUAAUACAUGCAAGUCGAGCGGACUGAUCAAGAGCUUGCUCUUAUGACGUUAGCGGCGGACGGGUGAGUAACACGUGGGCAACCUGCCCUGUAGAUCGGGAUAACACCGAGAAAUCGGUGCUAAUCCCGUGUAAUAUCCGCGAUCACAUGAUCUUAGGUUAAAAGAUGGCUCCGGCUAUCACUACAGGAUGGGCCCGCGGCGCAUUAGCUAGUGGGUAAGGUAAUGGCUUACCAAGGCGACGAUGCGUAGCCGACCUGGGAGGGUGAGCAGCCACACUGGAACUGAGAGACGGCCCAGACUCCGACGGGAGGCAGCAGUAGGGAAUCUUCCGCAAUGGACGAACGUCUGACGCAGCAAGGCCGCGUGCGUGAUGAAGGGUUUCGGCUCGUAAAGCUCUGUUGUUAGGGCAGAAACAGUACCGAACGAACUAGGUCGGUACCUUGACGGUACCUAACCAGAAAGCCACGGCUAACUACGUG
rnacentral:rRNA from 1 species